rnacentral:rRNA from 1 species
GGGUGCGUAACACGUGAGCAACCUGCCGAUCUGAGGGGGUAUAGCCGGCCCAACGGCCGGGUAAUACCGCAUACGCUUUUCGAGAGGAGUCUCUUGAGAAGGAAACCUCCGGGGCGGAUCGAGGGGCUCGCGGCCUAUCAGCUAGUUGGCGGUGUAACGGACCACCAAGGCAACGACGGGUAGCUGGUCUGAGAGGAUGGCCAGCCACAUUGGGACUGAGAGACGGCCCAG